rnacentral:rRNA from 1 species
UGCCAGCAGCCGCGGUAAUACGAGGGGUGCAAGCGUUAAUCAGAAUUACUGGGCGUAAAGCGUACGCAGGCGGUUUUUUAAGCCAGAUGUGAAAGCCCCGGGCUCAACCUGGGAACUGCACCUGAUACUGCCAGUCUAGAAUACGGUAGAGGGUAGUGGAAUUUCCUGUGUAGCGGUGAAAUGCGUAGAUAUAGGAAGGAACACCAGUGGCGAAGGCGACUACCUGGACCGAUAUUGACACUGAGGUGCGAAAGCGUGGGGAGCAAACAGGAUUAGAUA